rnacentral:misc_RNA from 1 species
CCGCGAUGUUUCGUGAGAAA